UACGAAGGGGGCUAGCGUUGCUCGGAAUGACUGGGCGUAAAGGGCGCGUAGGCGGUUUGUACAGUCAGAUGUGAAAUUCCUGGGCUCAACCUGGGGCUGCAUUUGAUACGUAUGGACUGGAGUGAGGAAGAGGGUCGUGGAAUUCCCAAGUGUAGAGGUGAAAUUCGUAGAUAUUGGGAAGAACACCGGUGGCGAAGGCGGCUCACUGGCUCGUAUCUGACGCUCAGGCGGCGAACAGCGUGGGAUCAAACAGG
rnacentral:rRNA from 1 species